UUUUUCUACCAAAAUGCUCCAAUUCUAAUUUCCAUUCAAUUAAUAAAUUUAAAAUAAUAAUAAUAUUAUUAAAUUUUCCAACAAUCCCCCACAUGAAUGGAAAUUGACUCAAUACCAUGCAAAUGACAAUGCAGACACCAGAGAGAGAAUUCAAUAGGAAAAGUACCGCAUCGGGAUAGGUGGCUUUUGGCUUUGAACCUUCCGUAGUGAAUUACUAUCGGAUUUACUUGGAUAAUCAGUGAACACAAUGUCUUGACCUGCUCAGCCGUUUGUGUAAACUAAGACAAUAGUAAUCACACAAUACCCUUCCAGACACCUCGUGGUUGCUCGGUUGUGUUCAUUUUGGCCCUAAACAAUUCUUGGUUUCUCAUGAGUGCUUUUAAACCCUAAUUUUUUUUCUCUAACAAUCUUAAGACAAGUUUAUUGGUUUAUUUGUUAUAAUAUGUUGGCGAGAUAGAAUUUUGUAUGUUCAUCCUUGCGUCCAAUAUUGUUAUGUAUAUUGAUUACAAUAGUGCUGCCUAUAUAUCAUAUAUUAAUUGACUAUUCAAAGACAUAUAUAUUGUGAAGCGGUACAUUUGCUUGUCUAAUGAAUCGUAUUCUUACCAUAGUACUGACUGAUAUUUCCGUUUUUAUAUAUGAAUCACGAUCCAUGAUUAUGAUAUUAAUCUUGGUGCAUGCUGACAAUUAAUUAUUUAGUUAUCUCUUUGUUUGAAAAACCAACUUCAGAUGUUAUUAUUUGGCAAUUUUAAUUUACCAAAGAAUGCGCCACACAGAUUUGAAGGAAUGUAUCUGGAACAAUUGAUUGCAAUUUUCAUGUUAAACCUUUUGAGUGCAUAUUGGUUUCUUGGAAUAAAACAAAGUGGUAGAACGGUUUGACAAUUCAAACCAUAUGUCAUCAGGC
rnacentral:lncRNA from 1 species